rfam:Astyanax mexicanus chromosome 5, whole genome shotgun sequence.
GUACAUCACUAUUGUAAGUCGCUUUGGACAAAAGCGUCUGCUAAAUGUAAUGUA